rnacentral:rRNA from 1 species
GACAGAGGGUGCAAACGUUUGUUCGGAAUUACUGGGCGUAAAGCGCGUGUAGGCGGCCCUGCAAGUCGGAUGUGAAAUCCCACGGCUCAACCGUGGAAGUGCAUUCGAAACUGCAGGGCUAGAGUCCUGGAGAGGAAGGUGGAAUGCUUGGUGUAGAGGUGAAAUUCGUAGAUAUCAAGCGGAACACCGGUGGCGAAGGCGGCCUUCUGGACAGUGACUGACGCUGAGACGGCGAAAGCGUGGGGAGCAAACAGG